UCUUUUCAUCAUGAUUUUAUAGAAAAGGAUGUGAAUAAAAGAAUACAUUUAUGCUCAAUUAGUUUUUGUUUUUCAGCCACAGUUUUUGCUGAAAUAAAGAACAAAACCACAAUGAGACACCAUCUCACACCAUUUGGCACAGCUAUUAUUAAAAAGUCAAAAAAUAACAGAUGCUGGCGAGGCUGGGGAGAAAAGGGAACACUUACACACUGUUGAUGGGAAUGUGAAUUAGUUCAACCACUGUAGAAAGCAAUUUAGAGAUUUCUCAAAGAACUUAAAACAGAGCUACCAUUUAACCCAUCAAUCCCACUACCGGGUAUAUUCUCAAUGAAAAUAAAUAGUAGUACCAAAAAGACACUUGUACUCAGAUAUUCAUCACAGCAAUAUUCACAAUAGCAAAGAUAUUGAAUCAACCUAGGUGCCCGUCAAUGAUGGCCUGAAUAAAGAAUGUGGUAUAUACACAUCAUGGAAUACUAUGCAGCCAUAAAAAAGAAUGAAAUCAUGUCCUUUGCAGCAACAUGGAUGCAGCCAGAGGCCAUUAUCCUAAGUGAACUAACAGGAAUGGAAAACCAAAUACCACAAGUUCUCACUUAAAAGUGGGAGCUAAGCACUGGGUACACAUGGACAAAAAGAUAAAAACAAUAGAAACUGGGGAUUGCAAGAGGAAAAAGAGUUGGAGGAGGAGAUAGGAAGGGCUAAAAAAUUACCUUUUGGGUACUAUGCUUACAAUUUGGGUGGUGGGAUCAUUCAUACUCCAAACUUCGGCAUUGCAAAAUUUGCUCAUGUAACCAACGUGCACAUGUACCCCCAGAAAACUAAAAGAAACAUUGAAAUUCUUUUUAAAAAGAACACAUUUCUAGUCUGCCUUAGCAAACACAUAUUGUGCUGCUGUCUGCAUCUGGGAAGUUCUUGGAAGAAUAGGAUUUUUUGAGUCAAAUAUUCCUGUUUUCAUCCUUGUUCUGCCAUUGAGUCACUCAUGGCUUUUGGAAGAUCGUUUACCUUCUUUGUGACUGGUUUUCAUUUUAAAAUGAGACUGUACAUCUUAUUUUCCCUUAAGUAGGUAGAAAGCCAGGUCUGUGUUAAACAUAAGGGAGACCCUGGGACUGGAGAUAUGCUAGAAAGACUCACAGAAGAGGAAUCAGCUCAGGAGAAGUUGAAAGAUAGUGAAGUCAAAGGCACAGCGGAAUUUUAUGUUACAGGAGAUAUGGAUAUGAGAGGCAUUCCUCCACAGAAGAGGCUUAACCACUUUGGCCCUUGAGAUCUUUACUUGAUCAAAACUUCUACAAGUGUGCUGGCAUGCCAGAGUCAGCUAGAAUUGGAUUGCCACAGCCUGUUGUGUGCACCUGUCCCCAACUCUGUCCAGCGACCUCAGGCUGGAGUGCAAUGGCGUGAUCUUGGCUCACUGCAACCUCAGCCUCCCAUGUUCAAGUGAUUCUCAUGCCUCAGCCUCCUGAGUAGCUGGGA